CUGGAAGUAUUCUUAAUUCACAAAUACAAAAAUUUGUGUUGAACUUGUGCAAAUAUUUUGAAACAGAGAGAGCGCUUGGAGGACCUUUUUCACCAUGUUCAUCUGUUCAAGAGAGAGUUGCAGAUGCACUUAAAAUAUCUAAAAAAAAAGGUGUUCAACAUCAAACAAAGAAAUACACAAACCCAUUCCAUCAACUCCAGGAAAAAGUAGACAUCGUUUCAAAAAGAAAACAUCUGAUUUACCUGUAGGGCAGAAAAUGGAAGGACGAUAUACUCUGUACGAUAUGUAUAAAGACAAAAAAAAAUCUCACCCUUCGAUCUUUGAACGAUGAGCUGAAAAAUAAAGAAAUUGUUUCUAUGUGCAAAUCGUCUUUGAAUGUUUUACUGAAAGAGCUGGGAUUUAAAUUUGGAAAAUAUGAUAAUCGAAGAGCUUUGAUUGAAAGACCUAAUAUCGUUUCACAAUGAGCAUUUUUUUUACGCAAAUACCGGGAAAACCGAAGAAGUUUAAAACCACGAGAAGUGGUUUUCUUAGAUGAAACAUGGAUAUAUUCUAGAGGAAAUAAAAAAAAGUCUUGGUAGGAUAAUAAUGUAAAAAGUAUACGCAAACCCGAAGGAUAUGAUGGUAAACGAUUUAUUGUUGUGUAUGCUGGUUCUAUGAAAGGGUUUAUUCCAGAAGCCAGUUUAUUGUUCUGUUCAAAAUUUUUGACCUUAGAUUUCCAUGGAGAAAUGAAUAGUACAAUGUUCACCAAGUGGAUUACUUUACAGUUACUUCCCAGUUUGGACGAACCAUCUUCAAUUAUAAUGGACAAUGCACCAUACCACAGUGAAAUUUUGAAUGAACAGCCUACCAGUUCUUCAAGAAAAUCGGAAAUUGUUAGUUGGUUACACGAAAACAACAUUGAUUUUGAUGAAAAAAAUUAACAAAACCAGAAUUAUUGCAAUUGGCUAAGACGAACCGAAAGGAAAAUAUAUAUAUAUUAUAGAUGAACUGGUACGAGAACAUGGACAUGAAGUAUUAAGAUUAUCACCUUACCACCCAAAUCUUAAUGCUAUUGAAUGAAUUUCGGCUGAUUGCAAAACCUUCUUUAACAAAUAUAUUGGUAGAGAUGGAUACAGUGAUGAAACAGUAUUAAGUAUGUGGAAUGAAGCGUUAGAGAAGUGCAACGCUGAAACCUGGGCAAAAUGUGUGAAACACACCGAAUCACUCAUAGAAAAAUGGUAUGAUCGAGAAAAGCUUCUUUGUGAUAUGGAUAUUACACCUAUUAUUAUAAACAUUAGUGAAAGUUUUGAAUCUGAAAGUGAUUAAUAUAUUUUUUUUUCAUAAAUG